AUCAGAGGCUUGAAUAGAGCCUUCGAAGCACGUCCGUCGCCACUGCAUGGACCGUUUCGUGUCUUGACCGCCCAAAAGGCAGUUUGACGAGGUUGCGACUGGAACGAAGUUGUCCUGAGGGACGGUAGCCCUGUUCGGCAGUCAGAUAAAAUGUAGUGAGCUUCGCACUGUGC
rnacentral:ncRNA from 1 species